rnacentral:rRNA from 1 species
GAUGAACGCUGGCGGCAUGCCUAAUACAUGCAAGUCGAACGAGGGUCCUUCGGGACUCGAGUGGCGAACGGGUGAGUAACACGUAGGGAACCUGCCCGUGCGACCGGGAGAACUUUCGGAAACGGAAGCUGAUACCGGAUAGGGACAGAGACGGCAUCGACUCUGUGUUAAAGGAGCUGAAAGGCUCCGCGCACGGAUGGACCUGCGGUGCAUUAGCUGGUUGGUGAGGUAACGGCCCACCAAGGCGACGAUGCAUAGCCGGCCUGAGAGGGCGGACGGCCACACUGGGACUGAGACACGGCCCAGACUCCUACGGGAGGCAGCAGUAGGGAAUUUUCGUCAAUGGGCGCAAGCCUGAACGAGCAAUGCCGCGUGAACGAGGAAGGUCUUCGGAUCGUAAAGUUCUGUUGAAGGGGAAAAAGAGCGGAGAGAGGAAAUGGUCUCCGAUUGAUAUUACCCUUCGAGGAAGUCACGGCUAACUACGUGCCAGCAGCCGCGGUAAUACGUAGGUGGCGAGCGUUAUCCGGAAUGAUUGGGCGUAAAGGGUGCGUAGGCGGCCUGCUAAGUCUGGAGUGAAAGGUACCGGCUCAACCGGUACAGGCUCUGGAAACUGGCGGGCUAGAGAGCAGGAGAGGGCGGUGGAACUCCAUGUGUAGCGGUAAAAUGCGUAGAUAUAUGGAAGAACACCAGUGGCGAAGGCGGCCGCCUGGCCUGUUACUGACGCUGAGGCACGAAAGCGUGGGGAGCAAAUAGGAUUAGAUACCCUAGUAGUCCACGCCGUAAACGAUGAGGACCAAGUGUUGGGGAAGACCCAGUGCUGCAGUUAACGCAGUGAGUCCUCCGCCUGGGGAGUAUGCACGCAAGUGUGAAACUCAAAGGAAUUGACGGGGGCCCGCACAAGCGGUGGAGUAUGUGGUUUAAUUCGAAGCAACGCGAAGAACCUUACCAGGCCUUGACAUAGGGUGCGAAGCUAUGGAGACAUAGUGGAGGUAAACAUCCAUACAGGUGGUGCAUGGUUGUCGUCAGCUCGUGUCGUGAGAUGUUCAGUUAAGUCUGGCAACGAGCGCAACCCUCGUGAUGUGUUACCAAUAUCGAGUUAGGGACUCACAUCAGACUGCCGGUGAGAAACCGGAGGAAGGCGGGGAUGACGUCAAAUCAUCAUGCCCCUUAUGGCCUGGGCUACACACGUACUACAAUGGCGGCGACAGAGGGCAGCGAGCCUGCGAAGGCAAGCGAAUCCCAAAAAAGCCGUCCCAGUUCGGAUUGGAGUCUGCAACCCGACUCCAUGAAGUUGGAAUCGCUAGUAAUCGCGGAUCAGCAUGCCGCGGUGAAUACGUUCUCGGGCCUUGUACACACCGCCCGUCAAACCAUGGGAGUGGGCAAUGCCCGAAGCCGGUGGCGCAACCCUUAAAAGGGAGCGAGCCGUCGAAGGCAGGGCCGAUGACUGGGGUUAAGUCGUAACAAGGUAUCCCUACGGGAACGUGGGGAUGGAUCACCUCCUUUCUAAGGAGAAAGCAAUUUGAAAAGGUGUAAAGACGUGGGAAGAGUUCUAUCAGGUUUUGGAGGAUCGUCCUCCAGAGUUCGAUCUUUGAAAACCGGAGACACAAAUUUGAAGAAAAGACACAACAAAUAGAGAAGAGGUCUUGAAGCAAGUUGUGGAGAAAAAAAGACACUGAGAAAACAGUAAGAGAAAAACAGUUUUCGAAAGAAGAAAAUCUUGAAGAAAGCACAUUGAAGAAAUAAAGAGAACCAACUGAUCAAGUAGGCAAGGGCGUACGGAGGAUGCCUGGCCACUCGAAACUGAAGAAGGACGCACCGAACUGCGAAAAGCGGCGCCGAGCUGUAAGGAAGCGAAGACACGCCGAUAUCCGAAUGGGGAAACCCGGCAUCUUGAAAGGGAUGUCAUCUCUAGGAUGAAUAAAUAGUCGUAGAGAGAGGGACCCGGGGAACUGAAACAUCUAAGUACCCGGAGGAAAAGAAAACAAGAGUGAUUCCCCGAGUAGCGGCGAGCGAAAGGGGAGCAGCCCAAACCGUUCUGAGGGACGGGGUUGAAGGGGGUUCAGGAAAGCAGAGACAGACCAUAGGCAAACGCGAACGGAAGCGCGGCCGAAGAGGGUGAAAGCCCCGUAGCCGAAAUGGGAAGAGGAAGCGAGAACGACCCUGAGUACGACGAGACACGAGGAAUCUUGUCGGAAGCAGGCGGGACCAUCCGCCAAGGCUAAAUAUAAACGAGUGAGCGAUAGAGAAAG